UCUUUUUGUUAAUUUUAUAUUAAAAUAUGGCUUAUAUUUUAGCAAAACCCAUUUAAAUCAAGGAAUGAAACAGUGUACGAAAAUUAAGAAAAAUCUGCAUAGUUUCAGCAAAAUCGCGAACUCUUUAAUACGAAUUUCUCGAAAGAAUUCGGCUAUGCAGUUUUAUAGCCCAUUAAAUUUUAGUACAAUAAUGUGCAAACUUCAAAUGUCUAAAAAAUCGCGUUGAUUUUUGAGAAUUGUUUUUGCUGACUGUCUUACGCGUUUGUUUCCAUAUAAAAAACACCAACACCAAUGUUACCACCUUCUUAACAGCAGCAGCAGCAGCUACCACCGCAAUUAGCAACCAUAUGUGCAAACAUGAGCAACAAAGGCAGCUAACGGAUUUCAGUUCACUUUUGCUUCGGGGUAUCAUUGAUUUGAUGCAAUAUAGUCAUAUCUAGUUGUCAGUCACUCUGUCGUCGAGAAGUAUUGUGUUCAACAAUCAAUUCCAUGAACCGAUUAAUUGCAGUCCCAAGAUCAUGCGUUGCGUCAUCAUUUAGAUACCAGAAAGUAAAAUCAGGCCUACAGCUAUUACAACAACAACAACUGACGCAGCAACAGUGACAGAAGUUAUUUUCAGUUUUGCUGCCACAGUUUAUUUCAAAAUGCAAAAAUCACCAAUACGUACACGCAACUUCACAACAACAACGGAAAAUCAAUAUGAAAACCCAAUACACACUUCAGACUUCAACACUUCACAAAGUAUAUAACCUAAUGCUUUUCCAAAUGAAAAUAAAUUGAGUGCAAAUUUAUCAAAAUGUAUUAA